GGUCUCGUGGCUCGGCUNGGCUGGUAGAGCGUGUGCCUACAAAUCGUAUGCGGCGUCCAUGCGUGGGUUCGAAUCCCACCGAGGCUA
rnacentral:tRNA from 1 species